UUCGCCCUUAGAGUUUGAUCCUGGCUCAGGACGAACGCUGGCGGCGCGCCUAACACAUGCAAGUCGAACGGAGUUUGAGAGAGCUUGCUUUUUCAAACUUAGUGGCGAACGGGUGAGUAACGCGUGAGUAACCUGCCCUGGAGUGGGGGACAACAGUUGGAAACGACUGCUAAUACCGCAUAAGCCCACAGUGCCGCAUGGCACAGCGGGAAAAGGAUUUAUUCGCUUCAGGAUGGACUCGCGUCCAAUUAGCUAGUUGGUGAGGUAACGGCCCACCAAGGCGACGAUUGGUAGCCGGACUGAGAGGUUGAACGGCCACAUUGGGACUGAGACACGGCCCAGACUCCUACGGGAGGCAGCAGUGGGGGAUAUUGCACAAUGGGGGAAACCCUGAUGCAGCGACGCCGCGUGGAGGAAGAAGGUUUUCGGAUUGUAAACUCCUGUCGUUAGGGACGAUAAUGACGGUACCUAACAAGAAAGCACCGGCUAACUACGUGCCAGCAGCCGCGGUAAAACGUAGGGUGCAAGCGUUGUCCGGAAUUACUGGGUGUAAAGGGAGCGCAGGCGGACCGGCAAGUUGGAAGUGAAAUCUAUGGGCUCAACCCAUAAAUUGCUUUCAAAACUGCUGGCCUUGAGUAGUGCAGAGGUAGGUGGAAUUCCCGGUGUAGCGGUGGAAUGCGUAGAUAUCGGGAGGAACACCAGUGGCGAAGGCGACCUACUGGGCACCAACUGACGCUGAGGCUCGAAAGCAUGGGUAGCAAACAGGAUUAGAUACCCUGGUAGUCCAUGCCGUAAACGAUGAUUACUAGGUGUGGGAGGGAUUGACCCCUUCAGUGCCGCAGUUAACACAAUAAGUAAUCCACCUGGGGAGUACGACCGCAAGGUUGAAACUCAAAGGAAUUGACGGGGGCCCGCACAAGCAGUGGAGUAUGUGGUUUAAUUCGAAGCAACGCGAAGAACCUUACCAGGUCUUGACAUCCGAUGCAUAGUGCAGAGAUGCAUGAAGUCCUUCGGGACAUCGAGACAGGUGGUGCAUGGUUGUCGUCAGCUCGUGUCGUGAGAUGUUGGGUUAAGUCCCGCAACGAGCGCAACCCUUAUUGCCAGUUACUACGCAAGAGGACUCUGGCGAGACUGCCGUUGACAAAACGGAGGAAGGUGGGGAUGACGUCAAAUCAUCAUGCCCUUUAUGACCUGGGCUACACACGUACUACAAUGGCGUUUAACAAAGAGAAGCAAGACCGCGAGGUGGAGCAAAACUCAAAAACAACGUCUCAGUUCAGAUUGCAGGCUGCAACUCGCCUGCAUGAAGUCGGAAUUGCUAGUAAUCGCGGAUCAGCAUGCCGCGGUGAAUACGUUCCCGGGCCUUGUACUCACCGCCCGUCA
rnacentral:rRNA from 1 species